rnacentral:rRNA from 1 species
AAAUUGAAGAGUUUGAUCAUGGCUCAGAUUGAACGCUGGCGGCAGGCCUAACACAUGCAAGUCGAACGGUAACAGGAAGCAGCUUGCUGCUUUGCUGACGAGUGGCGGACGGGUGAGUAAUGUCUGGGAAACUGCCCGAUGGAGGGGGAUAACUACUGGAAACGGUAGCUAAUACCGCAUAACGUCGCAAGACCAAAGAGGGGGACCUUCGGGCCUCUUGCCAUCGGAUGUGCCCAGAUGGGAUUAGCUAGUAGGUGGGGUAACGG